GAUAGCUCAGUUGGUAGAGCAACGGAUUGAAAAUCCGUGUGUCCCCAGUUCGAUCCUGGGUC
rnacentral:tRNA from 1 species